UACGGGGGGGGUAAGCGUUGUUCGGAAUUACUGGGCGUAAAGGGCUCGUAGGCGGCCAACUAAGUCAUACGUGAAAUCCCUCAGCUUAACUGGGGAACUGCGUGUGAUACUGGAUGGCUUGGAUUUGGGAGAGGGAUGCGGAAUUCCAGGUGUAGCGGUGAAAUGCGUAGAUAUCUGGAGGAACACCGGUGGCGAAGGCGGCUGUCUGGGCCAGUUCUGACGCUGAGGCGCGAAAGCGUGGGGAGCAAACAGG
rnacentral:rRNA from 1 species